rnacentral:rRNA from 1 species
UACAGAGGGUGCGAGCGUUAAUCGGAAUUACUGGGCGUAAAGCGCACGUAGGCGGCUUGGUAUGUCGGGUGUGAAAUCCCCGGGCUCAACCUGGGAACUGCAUCCGAAACUGCCUUGCUAGAGUAUGGGAGAGAGAAGUGGAAUUUCCGGUGUAGCGGUGAAAUGCGUAGAUAUCGGAAGGAACAUCAGUGGCGAAGGCGACUUCCUGGACCAAUACUGACGCUCAGGUGCGAAAGCGUGGGGAGCAAACAGG